GCUUCGAUAGCUCAAUGGUAGAGCACUUGGCUUUAGCCAAAAGUUGUAGGUUCGAAUCCUACACGAAGCA
rnacentral:tRNA from 1 species